rnacentral:rRNA from 1 species
ACGCACGCUGGCGGCGUGCUUAACACCUGCAAGUCGAACGGGUCUGCCCUGUUUUUUGCGGGGUGGGUCAGUGGCGAACGGGUGAGUAACACGUGAGUAACCUGCCCCUCACUUCUGGAUAACCGCUUGAAAGGGUGGCUAAUACGGGGUGUUCUGGCUGUGCCGCAUGGUGUGGCUGGGAAAGAUUCACUUUUGUGGUGUUUUGGUGGGGGAUGGGCUGGCGGCCUAUCAGCUUGUUGGUGGGGUGAUGGCCUGCCAAGGCUUUGACGGGUAGCCGGCCUGGGAGGGUGGGCGGCCAGACUGGGACGGAGAUACGGCCCAGACUGCUGCGGGAGGCAGCAGUGGGGGGUAUUGAACAAUGGGCGGAAGCCUGAUGCAGCGACGUGGCGGGAGGGAUGGAGGCCUUCGGGUUGUGAACCUCUUUCGCCGGUGAAGAAGGUCCUGCUCUUUGUGGUGGGGUUGACGGUAGCCGGGUUAUGAAGCGCCGGCUAACUACGUG